AGGUGGGUAGCAUAAUGGUUAUGCAAAAGACUUUCAUGUCUGAGGUUUUGAAGUGUAGGUUCAAUCUCCCACUCCACCGU
rnacentral:tRNA from 1 species